AUUGAUGGAAUCACUUACUUAUGUGCUACAGACAAUGCAUCGGAUACUAUAGCACCAUCUAUAUUUCUUGAAAAAGUUAGUGAUACUUUUUUGCAGGAUCCUUUGAUGUCAGAAGAACAUUUUUCUCCUUCCAAUGCAGUUGCGGCAGAUUUUCAGCAAGUACUAGGAAAAUAUAUGAUGAAGUUCAAUAAAAGUCAAGGAGAAAACAAUAUUUCUACACUGAGAAGUCAAGUGAAUGAUGUAGCAAAUAUUAU